CAGAGUGAGGCAUUUGCGGAUGACAUGCAUUCCACAAGUAACCUGCAGAGCAUUAAGAAAGAGGUUCAUGAAGAUCUGUUACCAGUGUCAGGGUGCAAUGGGUUCAUUAAAGAGGAGCCAGACUUAUAUGUAGGAGUGGAUUCAAGUGAGAAUGAGGAGGCAUCCACGAGAGAAGACGCCUCAGAUAUUACACGGUAAAAGCUUCAUCAUUUUACUGACACAUAAGUUUUACUAGGCGAGGUUGGUGCCUUUGUGCUUUCCUUC